AGCCUGAUGCAGCCAUGCCGCGUGUGUGAAGAAGGCCUUCGGGUUGUAAAGCACUUCAGCGAGGAGGAAAGGUUACUGGCUAAUAUCCAGUAGCUGUGACGUUACUCGCAGAAGAAGCACCGGCUAACUCCGUGCCAGCAGCCGCGGUAAUACGGAGGGUGCGAGCGUUAAUCGGAAUUACUGGGCGUAAAGCGUGCGCAGGCGGUUUGUUAAGCGAGAUGUGAAAGCCCCGGGCUCAACCUGGGAACUGCAUUUUGAACUGGCAAACUAGAGUCUUGUAGAGGGGGGUAGAAUUCCAGGUGUAGCGGUGAAAUGCGUAGAGAUCUGGAGGAAUACCGGUGGCGAAGGCGGCCCCCUGGACAAAGACUGACGCUCAUGCACGAAAGCGUGGGGAGCAAACAGGAUUAGAUACCCUGGUAGUCCACGCCGUAAACGAUGUCUACUCGGAGUUUGGUGUCUUGAACACUGGGCUCUCAAGCUAACGCAUUAAUGCCGCCUG
rnacentral:rRNA from 1 species